GAGCAGAGGGGGCACAGGAGCAUCACAAGAUCUAGCAACCCUUUAGGAGUAUUCACAAGAGAAGUCUAUGCAAAGUAGCAUGCACUCAAACCACUUGGUGAAGCAGCUGGACCAGUCUGAAGCAGGUAUCCUGAGACUGUGACAUAUCUUCCACAGUUGGAAUGGAUAGGUUGUGGAUGUGGGUUGUGGUUGCUACUAAUCCUCUGUGUCCUCCUGUGCUGUGUCAUCUGCAUGUUCUGCUGUAUCUACCUUCAAGAAGAUGAUGUGAGUUGGGCUGCCAAUAUCUUCAACCACAACUACUGAUGCUGUUAGUGGAUUUGCUUGCAAAGUUCCUGAAAAGGAGUUAACUUUUUUUGUUGUUGCUGUUUAGGUUACUUAAAAAUUUUUACUUUGCAGAAUUGCUGUUCUUAAAAAUGUUGUGUCUUUAAAGUCUGAACUACAUUAUUACAUGACAAUAUAAAGUAGUGUGCAAAAGU